rnacentral:rRNA from 1 species
UACAGAGGGUGCGAGCGUUAAUCGGAAUUACUGGGCGUAAAGCGUGCGUAGACGGUUAUGUAAGUCAGAUGUGAAAGCCCCGGGCUCAACCUGGGAAUUGCAUUUGAGACUGUGUAGCUAGGGUGCGGAAGAGGGAAGCGGAAUUUCCGGUGUAGCGGUGAAAUGCGUAGAUAUCGGAAGGAACACCAGUGGCGAAAGCGGCUUCCUGGUCCAGCACUGACACUGAGGCACGAAAGCGUGGGGAGCAAACAGG